GCGCCCUUAGCUCAGUGGAUAGAGUGCUAGACUUCGAAUCUAGGCGUCGGGGGUUCGAGUCCCUCAGGGCGUGCCA
rnacentral:tRNA from 1 species